rnacentral:rRNA from 1 species
ACGAACGCUGGCGGCGUGCUUAACACAUGCAAGUCGAGCGGUAAGGCCCUUUCGGGGGUACACGAGCGGCGAACGGGUGAGUAACACGUGGGUGACCUGCCCUUAGCUCUGGGAUAAGCCUGGGAAACUGGGUCUAAUACCGGAUAUGACUCCAUGACGCAUGUUGUGGGGUGGAAAGCCUUGUGCGGCUAGGGAUGGGCCCGCGGCCUAUCAGCUUGUUGGUGGGGUGAUGGCCUACCAAGGCGACGACGGGUAGCCGGCCUGAGAGGGCGACCGGCCACACUGGGACUGAGACAUGGCCCAGACUCCUACGGGAGGCAGCAGUGGGGAAUCUUGCACAAUGGGCGAAAGCCUGACGCAGCGACGCCGCGUGAGGGAUGACGGCCU